GACGAACGCUGGCGGCGUGCUUAACACAUGCAAGUCGAACGGAAAGGCCCUGCUUUUGUGGGGUGCUCGAGUGGCGAACGGGUGAGUAACACGUGAGUAACCUGCCCUUGACUUUGGGAUAACUUCAGGAAACUGGGGCUAAUACCGGAUAGGAGCUCCUGCUGCAUGGUGGGGGUUGGAAAGUUUCGGCGGUUGGGGAUGGACUCGCGGCUUAUCAGCUUGUUGGUGGGGUAGUGGCUUACCAAGGCUUUGACGGGUAGCCGGCCUGAGAGGGUGAGCGGCCACAUUGGGACUGAGAUGCGGCCCAGACUCCUACGGGAGGCAGCAGUGGGGAAUAUUGCACAAUGGGCGGAAGCCUGAUGCAGCAACGCCGCGUGCGGUAUGACGGCCUUCGGGUUGUAAACCGCUUUCGCCUGUGACGAAGCGUGAGUGACGGUAAUGGGUAAAGAAGCAACGGCUAACUACGUG
rnacentral:rRNA from 1 species